UACGAAGGGGGCUAGCGUUGCUCGGAAUCACUGGGCGUAAAGCGCACGUAGGCGGAUUGCUAAGUCAGGGGUGAAAUCCUGGAGCUCAACUCCAGAACUGCCUUUGAUACUGGCGAUCUCGAGUCCGGGAGAGGUGAGUGGAACUGCGAGUGUAGAGGUGAAAUUCGUAGAUAUUCGCAAGAACACCAGUGGCGAAGGCGGCUCACUGGCCCGGUACUGACACUGAGGUGCGGAAAGCGUGGGGGAGCAAACAGG
rnacentral:rRNA from 1 species